rnacentral:rRNA from 1 species
ANAGUUUGAUACUGGCUCAGAACGAACGCUGACGGCGUGCUUAACACAUGCAAGUCGAACGCGAACGAGUUCUUCGGAACUUUAGUAGAGUGGCGCACGGGUGAGUAACGCGUAAGUAAUCUACCCUGAUAUCUGGGAUAACAGUUCGAAAGGACUGCUAAUACCGGAUACGCUGAUUUAUCAGGAAAGGUGGCCUCUUCAUGAAAGCUACUGUAUCAGGAGGAGCUUGCGUACCAUUGGCUAGUUGGUGGGGUAAUGGCCUACCAAGGCGACGAUGGUUAGCGGGUCUGAGAGGAUGAUCCGCCACACUGGAACUGAAACACGGACCAGACUCCUACGGGAGGCAGCAGUGAGGAAUAUUGCGCAAUGGGGGAAACCCUGACGCAGCGACGCCGCGUGGAUGAUGAAGGCUUUCGGGUCGUAAAAUCCUGUCAGAUGGGAAGAAAUGCUAUGAGGCUAAUACCCUUGUAGUUUGACGGUACCAUCAAAGGAAGCACCGGCUAACUCCGUGCCAGCAGCCGCGGUAAUACGGAGGGUGCAAGCGUUGUUCGGAAUUACUGGGCGUAAAGCGCGCGUAGGCGGCUUUUUAAGUCAGAUGUGAAAGUCCACGGCUCAACCGUGGAAGUGCAUUUGAUACUGGGGAGCUUGAGUACUGGAGGGGAUGGUGGAAUUCCCGGUGUAGAGGUGAAAUUCGUAGAUAUCGGGAGGAAUACCGGUGGCGAAGGCGACCAU